GCGGGACGCGCUGGCGGCGCUGCUGCGGCACGCGCUGGCCCGCGCCGCGCCCGCGCCGCUCUACCUGGUGCCGCUGCUGCGCGCGCUGGCGCCCUCCCAGCCGCUCAACUUGCGCUGGCUGGCCGCGCAGGUGGUGGUCGACGAGAGCGAGGCGCUGCGGGCGAGCGCGGCCGAGCUGCGCGCGCCGCUGCUCGAUGUCGCGCUGUUCACGCCGCCGAUCUCCGCGCUGCACCUGGAUAUCCUGGCGGCGGUGGCGGCGUGGGACGAGGCGGGGGCGGCG